GAUGAACGCUGGCGGCGUGCCUAAUACAUGCAAGUCGAGCGAACAGACGAGGAGCUUGCUCCUCUGACGUUAGCGGCGGACGGGUGAGUAACACGUGGAUAACCUACCUAUAAGACUGGGAUAACUUCGGGAAACCGGAGCUAAUACCGGAUAAUAUAUUGAACCGCAUGGUUCAAUAGUGAAAGACGGUUUUGCUGUCACUUAUAGAUGUAUCCGCGCUGCAUUAGCUAGUUGGUAAGGUAACGGCUUACCAAGGCAACGAUGCGUAGCCGACCUGAGAGGGUGAUCGGCCACACUGGAACUGAGACACGGUCCAGACUCCUACGGGAGGCAGCAGUAGGGAAUCUUCCGCAAUGGGCGAAAGCCUGACGGAGCAACGCCGCGUGAGUGAUGAAGGUCUUCGGAUCGUAAAACUCUGUUAUUAGGGAAGAACAAAUGUGUAAGUAACUAUGCACGUCUUGACGGUACCUAAUCAGAAAGCCACGGCUAACUACGUG
rnacentral:rRNA from 1 species